UGUAAAGAUGGUAUUACGGAAACAAGGUUCAGUGAAGGAACUCAGGAAAAGGAAAGGGAAUUUUGUCUGCACCUAGGCUAUCCUAUAGUGGCUAUCCUAUAGGAUCCUAUAGGAUCUAGAGGACUGGGGAGAGCUGUGUUCCCGCUUCUCCUUUCCUCUCUAAUGCUCCCUUAUAUGGAGUCUUAGCAAAGCUUCCUCUGUCCUCGAUGUCAAAGGAGAUUUCAGAAUAUUGCCUGGGCUCCUCUUCCUGUGUUGCCAUGCCCUCUGAGUCUCGCCCUGCCCACCUCUGCACUCUGUCCUCAUUGCCUCACUUCCAUGCUCCUCUUGGGGACACUUGCACAGCUUGCUGCCCCGUGAAUGCUCCACGUCCCCUUUUCAGUUCCAGGUUGUUCCUCUGCUGGAAGAGCAUGUGCCUCGCCCGGCCUCUUUGUCUGGACACCUUCUUUUCUUUAAGAAUCCACCCAGGAAUGGCUCCUGACACUUCCAGGUCUGCAGAAAGCCAUCCCCGGCCCCUUCCUCACCCAGCCUGAGUGCUGUGCUCCCCUGCAGUGCCCACACAGUUCCCGGUGUGAACGGCUGACAUCCCGUUCACAUUGACCUCCCAUACUGCACCCUGAGCUUGUGAGCUCUGUGACAGCAAAGGGCUUAUGUGAAGGGCGUUUGGCACCUUCCACAUGGAGGUGAACCCAUUUACCUUGUUAAUUCCAUUUGCUCCCACCUCUUAGGUACCUGCAUAUUCCUAUCCUUCAGAUUUCCUAGCACUGGGCAUUAUAACAGCAUUUCUUAAAAUGGGGUCCCCAGUCCAACAGCAUCAGCAUCACAUGGGAAUUUGCUAGCAAUGCAACUUUUGGAGCCCUCCUUGGACCUCUAGGAUCUAAAACUCUGCAGAACUGAUGCUGUGAGAAGCCCAAGCCAUGGAGAGGCCCUAGGCAGGUGCUCUGGUCAACAGCCCAAGCUAAAUGCCCAGCCAACACCAGCAUCUGCGGCCAGCCGUGUGAGUGAGCCUUUGCAGAUGUCUAGUCCCGUCAAGUCCUACAGAUGUCUCCAGCACAGAUAGAGCCUACAGAUGUCUCCCCAUGAAACCACACAGCCAAGUCCAGGCGGAAAAUGUGAAAGAUGUUUCUACAAAGCCACUGAGUUUCUGGGUGGUUUGUUUUACAGUAAUAGAGUAAUAGAAAACCAGAACAGUAAUAGAGAACCAGAACAGUCUGUUCCUGCACUCUCCAGUGGUCCUCCUAUGUUCAAACACUCCACUUAGCAAGCUUCAUCACCCAACACCUGGACCUAAUCACUCCGCAGGGUCUCUCACUGCAGAGUCAUUUCUCAGGGUUACUGACGUGCUAGUCUCUGCUAAGAUGCUCACCUCUUCACCUUCCCUUAGUGACUGGCUGCUCUGGUUGAUGUUGGCUUUCCUUUCCUCCUGGAAGCCCUCCCUCAUUACCUCCCUUUCCCUAACAAUUCCAGCUCUUUGAGGUCAAGACCUCUCUCUUCCACCAUGGUGAUAACCUGCAUAUGUUGGGUGCUGCAUAAAUUCUAACUGUAUCAAAUCUAGGACCCAACCUGCACAGUUAAGGGAUUUACCUUGAGAAUCUUCCCAGUCUUCUUGCUAACAUGGGCUACUUUUAUUAUAAAAUCCAAAGAAUUUCACAGUUGCCACUUUUGUCAUUUUAUGUCAAAAAGAUGGUUUUAGCAACGACUAGGGAAGGGCACGUAAGAGUCCAGCAUGGCACAUGAUCCAAUUCCGAUGAACUUAAAAGGAGCCUGCUGGAGGCUUUGUGGGAUGAGACCCCAUUGUCCACCUAGUUUUCUUCCUGCAAGAUUAUGGCGUCUAUUCACUAAACACUUCUAACUAUCUUUUAUAUUUUUUUCAGUGGGAACACGAGACUUUUGAAAAAACACAGAUGAUGAAACUAUGUGCUCUUUCAGCCAAUACAAUGUGGGAAGUUUUUCUGUUUGUUAAAAUAAUUCAGGUCCUUACAGGGUAGCUUGGUGUAAAUGUGGCCACAGACUCUCAGUUUGGGUCCUCUCAUCUGGUCCUCCACCUUCCAAGGCCAGCACACCAUUCCUGAAGCCCAGCUUCACACCCUGGAUUUUACCCCUCAUCCCUUGAGGACCCGAAGACAAACAGCCUUGUCAACACACUAGUGCUUUGUCUCACCUCAACUGCAAAGUGGCCAUGGGGUCUUCACCAGCAGCUGGGGAGGAUGCUCCAGAAACUGGCCCUGAUAGCUUUGCCCUGUAACUUGACUGGAUUGCAACCACUAUGGAGUUGGGUCAGACACAACCACUGGGCAGCUGACACGAGAUCUGCACAUUUGUUACUAGAAGAGCCAGAAGGCCACCCACUGUUUCUCCUAGUGAACCACUGGCAGAGCAGGUAUGGCUUACAGCCCAGUUUCAUGCUUGACUACUGAUAUGGUUUGGCUGUGUUCCACCCAAAUCUCAUCUUGAAUUUUAGCUCCCAGAGGGACCUGAUUGGAGGUAAUUGAAUCAUGGGGGCAGGUCAUUCCCAUGCUGUUCUCAUGAUAAUGAAUAAGUCUCAUGAGAUCUGAUGGUUUUAUAAGGGGAAACCCCUUUCGCUUGACUCUCAUUUUCUUUUCUUUUCUGCUGCCAUGUGAGAUGUGCCUUUCACCUUCCACCAUGAUUGUGAGGCCUCCCCUGCCAUGUGGAACUGUGAGUCCAUUAAACCUCUUUCUUUUGUAAAUUGCACAGUCUUGAGUAUGUCUUUAUCAGCAGCACAAAAACAGACUAAUACAACUACACAAAAAAGUCAGUGCAUCAAAACAGAAAGAAGCCCCACCAGUACGUUUGAAAUUACAUUUUAAACAGGUAAAAAUGUAUAUAUCCUUUUAAAAUGAAAAUACAAAGUAAGUGAAUCAAUAAUACAAAUAUGUUUAUAGCAGUAAUUAAAAUAGAGGUAAUAUUUACCAAUGUGAAAAUAUCACAGAAUUCCAAUCACACUUGGAUCUUCAAUGAUUGAAGUGUGCAUUUGACACAGCAGGGGCUGGUAGAUUGAAGAUCAGUUCCUCCUCUGGAUGUGCCAUCCUCAGUCGAGUCCUUCCUCAUCACCAUCCAUCAGCUCACACAGUUGGGUAGCUGGCUGCUGUGGUGAUUCCACAGUUGUUCCUCCGGUCUUUGGCCAUCUUUAUGUAGCCAUCCAUGCCCCAGUUUUUACCCCAGCUGAAAGGAGAGCAGGUUUUCCAUUUCAGAGGCAGGAUAAAGCACGUUGGGUUAUUAACUUAAACAGUGUGCCAGAAGCCACAGGCUUAACAUAAAGAAACAGGAGAUGGUGAUGUUCCUGUUCAUCCCUUAUAAAUUCUUGAGUCAAAACCUGCAUAUCACUUCGAUCCCACACCCAAAACUGUGACCUUUCACGGAACUGCAAAAUCAGAAACAGAAAAAGGAAAGGAUGUCUUUCCAGCCAGAUAUGCUUCAGAAUUAAGAAAAUGUUCAGAAUUUAGACAUGCAAUGGGACAAAUACUAUAUUAAUAUCCCCAGCAUGCUUGUGACAGUAUCUAGAUGUUACAAUCAAUCAUUAAUAUUCUGUGUUCUGCCUAAGGGGGAUGAAGACUUCUGGGAUUUCAGAAACGUGAUUAAGGGCUUCUGGUAUGUAAACAUUGAUUGCAAAAAAGGAUUCCCUUUUGAAUUUCAACUGUAAGUCUUUCUGGCCAUUUAUACCUGUUCUUCACCAGCCAAUAUUUGUUAUCCCAGUCUGCUCCUUCAUAGCCGUAGCCAACCACCAGCAUAGCAUGAUCCAGGCCUUCAGAGUCACAGCGUGGCUCAAAAUAAAUUUCUGAGAGAAUAAAAUGAAGGCUGGGUGAGAAGUUCCCGAGGACACCUGACAGUAACCCACCCUGUCACCCACAGGGAGGGAGGCAACUCUAAAAUCAGUGAAAUGACACACAGUCCAGAUCAGGCUUAACAAAAUCUAUUGUUACCAAGGCUAGGGAAUUAGGCUCUCAUCCACAACUAGCAGAAAUAGAAAUUAGCAUAAGUCCCUCAUAAAAAAACUUUCUUACAGGCAUAAAAGACCACUCAUUUUAAGCUUGUAAUUCUACUCUAGAAUAUCAAUCUUGAAAAUAGCACAGAACACCAAAAUCCUUGAAUCAAAAGGCUCUUUUCAGAUUUGAUCACAAAAAAAACUUUGGAAAAAUUCUAAGAAUACAACAAUUAGAGAAUAUUUAAGUAGAUUAAACUAUACAUAACAUAGCUAUUUAUAAAAAGUUAUGAAGUACAUGUAUUCAUGGACAUACGUUCAAUGUAAUAUCAAAUGGAAGCAUUAGGUAUGAUUAUUGCGUGUAUAGAGUCCAUCAUGCUGGUAUGUCAUGGUGGUUUACUUUUUUUCUGCAAUAAUUUCUAUGAAGAAAGAUGCUUACCUUUUUUUAUAGAACUGGAAGGAGACAUGGCUUGCAUCAACAGCAACAGAGAUGGGUCCCACAGUUGCCACUGCCUUCGCCAGGUCCUUCUCCCAUGAAGUGUCCCAGUAAAACAAAGCAGGAAUGGCAGCAAGAAAAGGAGCUCCAUUUACCUUUCCUUCAUAUGGAUAGGAGGCCUCAGAGUCCAGGUCUCCGUUCUCCUGAACAUACCAGAAGGAAGUAUCCAUGAAGCCACCAUUGCAGCCCUCAUUGCUUUGAGGCCCAGAGCUACCAGAUUCUGCUCACUCAGUGAGAUAAGUUUGCCUGUUUUCUAGAACAUCUGCCCUUCCAGCAUACCAGUUGUACUAAAAGCCCAAGAGCCACAAUGACCCUGAAAAGAGAAUAAAAAAGCUGAUAUCCACACACACUCACACACACACACACACACACACAGAGCAAGACUUUUAACAACAGCUCAUAUAUCUAAAUACUCCUUUAAAAAGUGAACUGCAUGUUGCAGCACAGUCUAGCAUAGCUCAAAUGUCAAUUGCUUCUUGGCUUUCCUGGGGUGAUGGGAGGUCUGAACCUAACACAGUCUCACCUGAUCCUUCACAGGACUCAUGUAGCCUUUCUCUCUCCAGUUCACAGAUGUGGGGAUCUCAAGAAGCAGAAGUUCCUGGAACUCUUUCCCCUUCCUGUGCUUCUGGUAUUGAAAACCAUUCAUCACCUGCCUGAAUUCUUAAUUAGUCUUCAAGGAAAAGUAAAUAAAAUGUUAAAAAGCAA